rnacentral:rRNA from 1 species
UACGUAGGGUCCGAGCGUUGUCCGGAUUCAUUGGGCGUAAAGAGCGUGUAGGCGGCCAGGUAGGUCAGCUGUGAAAACUCGAGGCUCAACCUCGAGACGCCGGCUGAAACCCUCUGGCUAGAGUCCGGAAGAGGAGAGCGGAAUUCCUGGUGUAGCGGUGAAAUGCGCAGAUAGUCAGGAAGAACACCCGUGGCGAAGGCGGCUCUCUGGGACGGUACUGACGCUGAGACGCGAAAGCGUGGGGAGCGAACAGG